GACGAACGCUGGCGGCGUGCUUAACACAUGCAAGUCGAACGGAAAGGCCCUGCUUUUGUGGGGUGCUCGAGUGGCGAACGGGUGAGUAACACGUGAGUAACCUGUCCUUGACUUUGGGAUAACUUCAGGAAACUGGGGCUAAUACCGGAUAGGAGCUCCUGCUGCAUGGUGGGGGUUGGAUAGUUUCGGCGGUUGGGGAUGGACUCGCGGCUUAUCAGCUUGUUGGUGGGGUAGUGGCUUACCAAGGCUUUGACGGGUAGCCGGCCUGCGAGGGUGACCGGCCACAUUGGGACUGAGAUGCGGCCCAGACUCCUACGGGAGGCAGCAGUGGGGAAUAGUGCACAAUGGGCGGAAGCCUGAUGCAGCAACGCCGCGUGCGGGAUGACGGCCUGCGGGUUGUAAACCGCUUUCGCCUGUGACGAAGCGUGAGUGACGGUAAUGGGUAAAGAAGCACCGGCUAACUACGUG
rnacentral:rRNA from 1 species